rnacentral:rRNA from 1 species
GGGGAAUAUUGGACAAUGGGGGCAACCCUGAUCCAGCCAUGCCGCGUGAGUGAUGAAGGCCUUCGGGUUGUAAAGCUCUUUUGGCGGGGACGAUGAUGACGGUACCCGCAGAAUAAGCCCCGGCUAACUUCGUGCCAGCAGCCGCGGUAAGACGAAGGGGGCAAGCGUUGUUCGGAAUUACUGGGCGUAAAGCGAGUGUAGGUGGUUGUCAUAGUCAGGUGUGAAAGCCUUGAGCUCAACUCAAGAAAUGCACUUGAUACUGGGCGACUAGAGGACCGGAGAGGAUAGUGGAAUUCCCAGUGUAGUGGUGAAAUACGUAGAGAUUGGGAAGAACACCAGUGGCGAAGGCGGCUAUCUGGACGGUUUCUGACACUAAGACUCGAAAGCGUGGGGAGCAAAC